GCCGGGCAUGGUUGUGCAUGCCUGUAAUCCCAGUUACUAGGGAGGCUGAGACAGGAGAAUCACUUGAACCCGGGAGGUGGAGGUUGCAGUGAGCCGAGAUCACGCCACUGCACUCCAGACUGGGUGACAGAGUGAGAUUCUGUCUCAC
ensembl:misc_RNA Metazoa_SRP Metazoan signal recognition particle RNA